UACGUAGGGUGCGAGCGUUGUCCGGAAUUAUUGGGCGUAAAGCGCGCGCAGGCGGUCUUCCAAGUCAGUGGUGAAAGCCCGGAGCUCAACUCCGGAACUGCCAUUGAAACUGUUAGACUUGAGGACGAGAGAGGUGAGUGGAAUUCCCAGUGUAGAGGUGAAAUUCGUAGAUAUUGGGAAGAACACCGGUGGCGAAGGCGGCUCACUGGCUCGUAUCUGACGCUCAGGCGCGACAGCGUGGGGAUCAAACAGG
rnacentral:rRNA from 1 species